rnacentral:rRNA from 1 species
AUUGAACGCUGGCGGCAGGCUUAACACAUGCAAGUCGAGCGGUAACAGAGAGAAGCUUGCUUCUCUGCUGACGAGCGGCGGACGGGUGAGUAAUGCCUAGGAAUCUGCCUAGUAGUGGGGGAUAACUUGCCGAAAGGUAAGCUAAUACCGCAUACGUCCUACGGGAGAAAGGCGGGGACCUUCGGGCCUUUCGCUAUUAGAUGAGCCUAGUUCGGAUUAGUUAGUUGGUGGGGUAAUGGCUCACCAAGACCGCGAUCCGUAACUGGUCUGAGAGGAUGAUCAGUCACACUGGAACUGAGACACGGUCCAGACUCCUACGGGAGGCAGCAGUGGGGAAUAUUGGACAAUGGGGGGAACCCUGAUCCAGCCAUGCCGCGUGUGUGAAGAAGGUCUUAGGAUUGUAAAGCACUUUAAGUUGGGAGGAAGAGCAGUUAACUAAUAUUUGACUGUUUUGACGUUGCCGACAGAAUAAGCACCGGCUAACUUCGUGCCAGCCGCCGCGGUAA